GGGCGACACUCCAUCUUCCUCCAGCACCUGUGACGUUCUCCUCUGAGCUGUCGGGCGAGUAAGCGCUUUGCUUCCUCACUUUGUGAAACACCUAAGGUGAUUUUAAAGUGAAUAAGGAAAGUCAAGUGACACAGAAGAGACAAGACAACCACUGGAAGAAAUAACUCAUUGGAAGACCAACCACCAAACUCCAAGACUCUCCGUAAAGCCAAAGCAAUGUAGACACCAUGGUAUUAGCAUGAAGUUAGAUAAAUGAAUCAAUGGAACAUAAUGUGAAGGCCUGAAAUAGACCUACACAUAUGCCAAAGAUUCACCGGAGAAAGGAAGGGUGCCUCAGUAAAUUGCCUUAGUCAAUCCCCAUGGAAAAAGGAAUCUUCAUUUCUACCUCAUGCCAUUGAUUUGAAGUGAUCAUUGUCCUAAAUGUAAAAGCAAAAAUAAAAAGCAUUUAGAGAAAAACAAAAUAGGACAGCAAGACCACAUCUCUCUGACCCUCACCUUCUUUCAAGGGGCUCACCUGAUUAGGCCAGGCUUACCUAGACAAUCCCUUUUGAUUAACUCAAAGCAAAUGGAUUAGUAGCUAAUCACUGGAGUGGUUUCUCAUCAUAUUCCCAGCCCCGGCUUCCCACACACACUGGUGGGGAGGCGCUUAUUCAGAGGGUGUACUCUGGUGCAGGAAUCUUGGAGGUCACCUUAGAAUUCUGUCUAGCACAGACAUUGUGUCCAAA
rnacentral:lncRNA from 1 species